CCUACGGGAGGCAGCAGUGGGGAAUAUUGGGCAAUGGAGGCAACUCUGACCCAGCAACGCCGCGUGAAUGAUGAAGGUCCUCGGAUUGUAAAGCUCUGUGAUGGGGGAUGAACACAAUGACGGUACCCCAAUAGCAAGCCACGGCCAACUACGGGCCAGCAGCCGCGGUAAUACGUGGGGGGCAGGCGUUAUCCGGAAUGACUGGGCGAAAAGGGUGCGUAGGUGGUUUAGUAAGUUGGCGGUGAAAUUCCGGGGCUCAACCUCGGCGCUACCGCCGAAACUAUUAGACUAGAGUGCAGGAGGGGUAAGUGGAAUGCCUAGUGUAGCGGUGGAUUGCGUAGAUAUUAGGAGGAACAUCAGGGGCGAAGGCGACUUACUGGACUGUAACUGACGCUGAGGCACGAAAGCGUGGGGAGCGAACAGGAUUAGAUACCCUGGUAGUC
rnacentral:rRNA from 1 species